rnacentral:rRNA from 1 species
AUUGAACGCUGGCGGCAGGCUUAACACAUGCAAGUCGAGCGGAGAUGAGGUGCUUGCACCUUAUCUUAGCGGCGGACGGGUGAGUAAUGCUUAGGAAUCUGCCUAUUAGUGGGGGACAACAUUCCGAAAGGAAUGCUAAUACCGCAUACGUCCUACGGGAGAAAGCAGGGGACCGUCCGGCCUUGCGCUAAUAGAUGAGCCUAAGUCGGAUUAGCUAGUUGGUGGGGUAAGGGCCUACCAAGGCGACGAUCUGUAGCGGGUCUGAGAGGAUGAUCCGCCACCCUGGGACUGAGACACGGCCCAGACUCCUACGGGAGGCAGCAGUGGGGAAUAUUGGACAAUGGGCGGAAGCCUGAUCCAGCCAUGCCGCGUGUGUGAAGAAGGCCUUUUGGUUGUAAAGCACUUUAAGCGAGGAGGAGGCUACUUAGAUUAAUACUCUAGGAUAGUGGACGUUACUCACAGAAUAAGCACCGGCUAACUCUGUGCCAGCCGCCGCCGUAAUAC